rnacentral:rRNA from 1 species
CCUACGGGAGACAGCAGUGAGGAAUAUUGGUCAAUGGACGAGAGUCUGAACCAGCCAAGUCGCGUGAAGGAUGACUGCCCUAUGGGUUGUAAACUUCUUUUAUAUGGGACUAAAAUGUUCCACGUGUGGGAUUUUGUAUGUACCAUAUGAAUAAGGAUCGGCUAACUCCGUGCCAGCAGCCGCGGUAAUACGGAGGAUCCGAGCGUUAUCCGGAUUUAUUGGGUUUAAAGGGAGCGUAGGUGGGUUGUUAAGUCAGUUGUGAAAGUUUGCGGCUCAACCGUAAAAUUGCAGUUGAAACUGGCAGUCUUGAGUACAGUAGAGGUGGGCGGAAUUCGUGGUGUAGCGGUGAAAUGCUUAGAUAUCACGAAGAACUCCGAUUGCGAAGGCAGUUCACUGGACUGCAACUGACACUGAGGCUCGAAAGUGUGGGUAUCAAACAGGAUUAGAUACCCCAGUAGUC